rnacentral:rRNA from 1 species
AGAGUUUGAUCCUGGCUCAGGACGAACGCUGGCGGCGUGCCUAAUACAUGCAAGUCGAACGCUUCUUUUUCCACCGGAGCUUGCUCCACCGGAAAAAGAGGAGUGGCGAACGGGUGAGUAACACGUGGGUAACCUGCCCAUCAGAAGGGGAUAACACUUGGAAACAGGUGCUAAUACCGUAUAACAAUCNNNNNNNNNNGGUUUUGAUUUGAAAGGCGCUUUCGGGUGUCGCUGAUGGAUGGACCCGCGGUGCAUUAGCUAGUUGGUGAGGUAACGGCUCACCAAGGCCACGAUGCAUAGCCGACCUGAGAGGGUGAUCGGCCACAUUGGGACUGAGACACGGCCCAAACUCCUACGGGAGGCAGCAGUAGGGAAUCUUCGGCAAUGGACGAAAGUCUGACCGAGCAACGCCGCGUGAGUGAAGAAGGUUUUCGGAUCGUAAAACUCUGUUGUUAGAGAAGAACAAGGAUGAGAGUAACUGUUCAUCCCUUGACGGUAUCUAACCAGAAAGCCACGGCUAACUACGUGCCAGCAGCCGCGGUAAUACGUAGGUGGCAAGCGUUGUCCGGAUUUAUUGGGCGUAAAGCGAGCGCAGGCGGUUUCUUAAGUCUGAUGUGAAAGCCCCCGGCUCAACCGGGGAGGGUCAUUGGAAACUGGGAGACUUGAGUGCAGAAGAGGAGAGUGGAAUUCCAUGUGUAGCGGUGAAAUGCGUAGAUAUAUGGAGGAACACCAGUGGCGAAGGCGGCUCUCUGGUCUGUAACUGACGCUGAGGCUCGAAAGCGUGGGGAGCAAACAGGAUUAGAUACCCUGGUAGUCCACGCCGUAAACGAUGAGUGCUAAGUGUUGGAGGGUUUCCGCCCUUCAGUGCUGCAGCUAACGCAUUAAGCACUCCGCCUGGGGAGUACGACCGCAAGGUUGAAACUCAAAGGAAUUGACGGGGGCCCGCACAAGCGGUGGAGCAUGUGGUUUAAUUCGAAGCAACGCGAAGAACCUUACCAGGUCUUGACAUCCUUUGACCACUCUAGAGAUAGAGCUUCCCCUUCGGGGGCAAAGUGACAGGUGGUG